UUGACUGUGGCAGAGCAAUGUUGAGCUGCACAUUUCAAACCUGAAUAUAACAAGAAAAAUCUACACUGCAUAAUACACUGUGAACCUCUUCAACUCUGGAUUUUCAUCUUAUAUUCACAUCAUGUUUUUGUUUAAAUAAAUGUUAAUACAAAUACAUAAAUAAAAUAAAAAUAAAUAAAUCAUCUCUUUUUCAACGGUCAGACUAUAACAAAUAUAUUCAGUAUUUUAUUUUUCCAACAUUUUGAUGAAGCUAUAUGACAAUUAUACUGAAUGAAUAGUUUAAACUGAACAUGCUUUGAUUUUAUGACUUCAAAGAAAUAUUGUUGAUAUCUUUUGUUCACAUUUCCCCAGAAUUCAUCCUGACAUAUGUGUCAUCUUUGUAAACUUUGGGAUCUUGAGUAUUAAUUUCUGUCAUUAAUAUUAAUGAGAGCUCCUUGUCACUUUUUGUAUUUGACAGUUGUGAACCUGCAUCCUGUUUGGUUCAGGUGUUUGGAGUUUCUACUUUCUAAACCUUCUUCAGCUCUGAACAGAUUAUUAAACAUUGAAUGAUUUCAAGCAGGAACAUUGUCUUCUAAAGUUACAUCAUUUAUUCUUCAUUCAGUUUGAGGAGCUGCAGGUUGUCAAAGACCAGCUGUGCUUCUCUGGCCUCAGCUCUGAAGUCCAACCCCUCCCAUCUGAAAGAGCUGGACCUGAGAGGAAACGACCUGAAGGAUUCAGAAGUGAAGCCUCUGUCUAAUAUUGAGAAGAGACCACACUGCAGUCUGCAGGCUCUGAGGUGGAAGUGGUGAGAAAGGUGUUUGUGUUGAGAGAGGAUCAGCUGAGUCCUGAUGAUCCAGAGAGGUUGAAGCAGCAGCAUCAGCUCCAGGUGGUGCUGCUACAUCAACAAUCAAAUGACACUCAAACAUACAACAGUGUGUUUGAGUGUCAUCUGUACUCAGAGACGUCACACAGGGAGACAAGAUGGGUUCAAACCUGUGACAUGGACACCACUAAAACACAUCAAUAUAAAUAUCAAAGGUCA